GCUAGAGUGCGGUAGGGGUAACUGGAACUCCUGGUGUAGCGGUGGAAUGCGCAGAUAUCAGGAAGAACACCGAUGGCGAAGGCAGGUUACUGGGCCGUUACUGACGCUGAGGAGCGAAAGCGUGGGGAGCGAACAGGAUUAGAUACCCUGGUAGUCCACGCUGUAAACGUUGGGCACUAGGUGUGAGGCUCCUUUCCGGGGGUUUUGCGCCGUAGCUAACGCAUUAAGUGCCCCGCCUGGGGAGUACGGCCGCAAGGCUAAAACUCAAAGGAAUUGACGGGGGCCCGCACAAGCGGCGGAGCAUGCGGAUUAAUUCGAUGCAACGCGAAGAACCUUACCAAGGCUUGACAUGUUAACUGUGGCUCUAGAGAUAGGGUUUACCCUUUUGGGUGGUUUUCACAGGUGGUGCAUGGUUGUCGUCAGCUCGUGUCGUGAGAUGUUGGGUUAAGUCCCGCAACGAGCGCAACCCUUGUCCCGUGUUGCCAGCACGUUGUGGUGGGGACUCGCGGGAGACUGCCGGGGUCAACUCGGAGGAAGGUGGGGAUGACGUCAAAUCAUCAUGCCCCUUAUGUCUUGGGCUUCA
rnacentral:rRNA from 1 species